rnacentral:rRNA from 1 species
GUGUCAGCAGCCGCGGUAAUACGGAGGGGGCUAGCGUUGUUCGGAAUUACUGGGCGUAAAGCGCGCGUAGGCGGCUUUGUAAGUCAGAGGUGAAAGCCCGGAGCUCAACUUCGGAAUAGCCUUUGAGACUGCAUCGCUUGAAUCCGGGAGAGGUGAGUGGAAUUCCGAGUGUAGAGGUGAAAUUCGUAGAUAUUCGGAAGAACACCAGUGGCGAAGGCGGCUCACUGGACCGGUAUUGACGCUGAGGUGCGAAAGCGUGGGGAGCAAACAGGAUUAGAAACCCGAGUAGUCC